rnacentral:rRNA from 1 species
CAGUCGCCGCGGGAAUACGAAGGGGGCUAGCGUUGCUCGGAAUGACUGGGCGUAAAGGGCGCGUAGGCGGUUUGUACAGUCGGAUGUGAAAUUCCUGGGCUUAACCUGGGGGCUGCAUUCGAUACGUGCAGGCUUGAGUGUGGAAGAGGGUUGUGGAAUUCCCAGUGUAGAGGUGAAAUUCGUAGAUAUUGGGAAGAACACCGGUGGCGAAGGCGGCAACCUGGUCCAUGACUGACGCUGAGGCGCGAAAGCGUGGGGAGCAAACAGGAUUAGAUACCCGCGUAGUCCCUGUCUCUUAUAU